UAUUGAUGUCACAUAGAGCUAGAGUGCUUCUUGUGCAGCGUCACACUCUUGAGUUCUUCAGUCAGAACCAUUGCAGAAGAGAGAGAGAAAGCAAGUAGGAUUGUCUCCUAACAAGAGUUUGGAAACUAAAACUUUUCAAGAUUAAAAGGAAAAUAUUAACAAGCAAAUAAAGGAAAACAUGGGGCAGACUUUGUUCAGACAAAGAUCAAAGGUGAAUCAGCUCAAUAAGGCUUCAUCUUCUGAUUCUUCGAAUGAAGAAAUGGCUAGAGAGACAGAGAACAUCGAUAGCGUUUUGGAAGAAGACAAUAUGAUGUCGAUUGAAAGACAGUCACUUAUUAAAGAAAAUGAGGAGCUGAAGAUUAAAGUAAUGGAUGCAGAAAAAGCUGCACUUGAGAAAGACGAGGAAUUUAAAAAACUGUUUGAUGUAAACAGAACUUUAAAAGACGAUAACAACACAUUGAAACAGGAAAACACUGCACUGGAGUGCAGUGAUUUCCUCUGCCUUGGAAGAGGAAAAAGAUACAUUGAAAGGGGAAAUCACUGCACUGGAGCAGAAAAACACCGCACUACAUCAGGAAAACUGCAUUUUAAAACAGCAAAAAACCAUCUCGGAGGAGGAAACCGCCAUUCAAAUCAACACGCUGGAGCGGAUAAUUUCCUCUAUAGAGCAGGAAAACAACGAGCAGAGGGAGAUAAUAUCCGCAUUACAGGAGAGGGAAACAACACUCAGAGGGAGAGACUCUCUCAUUCAGAGCGGUUAAAUCGCGUCCUGGAGCGACGAAUAAACCGUUUGGAACAGCAAAACUCUGAUCAUGAGCAGGAAAACGGAGACCUGGAUCAGCACCCUGAAUUUGAGAAGAAGGCAACAGGAGCAGGAAAAAACCAACCAUCUGCUAGCCCUCACUACUCUGGAGGUGAAAAACACUGUCCUGGAGGAUGAAAAGGCCGCACUGGACAACGAAAAAACCACUCUGGAAGAGGAAAACACCGUCCUGGAGCAGAGAAUAACCCUCUUGGAGCAGAAAAACAAAACUUUGGAGCUGAAAAAUGCCACCCUAGAGCAGGGAAACAGCCCUCUGAAGCAGGACAACAGCGCCCUGGAGCAGGACAACAGCGCUCUGAAGCAGGUGAACAGCAGCUCUGAAGCAGCUGAACAGUUCUCUGAAGCAGGUGAACAGCGCUCUGGAGCAGAAGAACACCACCUUUGAGCAGGAAAACAGUAACCUGCAGCUUGAAGUGGAACAGCUGAACAAAAGGCUGAGGGACAGAAUGGAAGAGCAGAACCAGCAGCAAUCUGAACAGGAAAAGCACAAAGACAAACAGUUGGUUUCAGACCAGCCACAGAAUCAGCUGACUGUAUUCAGACGUGUGAUCAGAGGCAUCUGGAAUAUACUUCUCAAAAUGUACCUAACAAGCACUCUCAGGUAUUGCAUUGAAAUAUGGUACUUCUAAAGAAAGAAGUGUCAUGACGGCUCCAAGCUUCAUGCUUGAUUAUCGGUGGCCUCCAGACGUGCCUCCAGGGCUUCAUAGCAAGUCCCGUUGGUCUGCAGGUGACCUCAAGGGCUUCGUAGAGAGUCCUGUCGGUCUCCGAGCUGACCUCCAGGGCUUAGUAUUGAGUCUUGUUGGUCUCCUGGGCUGACUUCCAGGGCUUCGCAGCGAGUCCCGUUGGUCUCCGGGCUGACCUCCAGGGCUUCGUAUUGAGUCCUGUCGGUCUCCUGUUCUGGCCUCCAGGGCUUCAUAGCCAAUUCCGUUGGUCUCCCGGCUGACCUCCAAGGCUUCAUAGUGCAUCUCGUUGGUUCCUCCCAUGGGCUGACUUCCAGGGCUUUGUUGCGGGUCCCAUUGGCCUCCUGGUUCCCGUUCUGCUGCCAGCGUCCACCAAGGUUUCUACUCUGCUGCCGACAUCCUUGUGCUCUUCCUGUUUCUCCAGUUUGUCUUUGUUUUGCUUUUUUUUGUUCUCCACUGUUUUACCUCCUCCAAUCCCUCUGAUUGAAGCCGUUUCCUCCCAUGGGUUGAAUACGCUCACAAUAGUCAUAUCUCUGCAGCCACUGGUUUCUCUCUUUUCGAAGUCUCUCUAGGUUACCAGCCACAAUUGCUCUCCUCUCAUGAGAACAACAUUGCUGUCACAUCUGUACAACAUCACAUUGCCGCUGCAAGAACAUCUGGAAAACCACCAUCGAUGCCCUCAAUAACACCUCCACCCAGAACAAGCGCCUCGCUGACUGGAGACUGACCCCGGCUCCCAGCUACAUUCCUGGCCAGAAGGUUUGGUUGUCCUCCCAUGAUAUUCCGUUUAAAUCAAUGUAAUUUUGCCUUGUUUUCCACAUUCUUCAUGGGUGUUUCUAAUUAUGUUUAUUUCUUGUUUCUAGUUAUUUUCCUUUGUUCUAAUUAGGUUCCUUUAGUCUACUUACUCCUUUGUGUUUGUAUUUUUGUUAUUUCUCCUUGUGUAAUCUUUCCCCCUUUCCUUUGCCACUUUCUCUAUCCCUUCUCAGUCUGCUUCCACUCCCUCCACUCACAUCUGUUCAUCAGCCCAUGUCCUGGACAGUAGCGCAUUUGGUAGCACUGUUGCCUUGCAGCAAGAAGGUCCUGGGUUCGCCCGAGACGUGGAUGGGCAUCCUGCCUACACUGUCCGCUGGAUCGUGGACUCCUGUCGGCGAGGUCGUGGCUGGCAGUAUCUCGUCGACUGGGAGGGCCACGGUCCGGAGGAUCACUCAUGGGUCCCAGGUUCUUUUAUUCUUGACGCUUCUCUGAUUGAGGAUUAUCGUUCUUCGCUCCCUUCUUGUUUGUCUCGGCCGCCAGGUGGCGACCGUUGGGGUGGGGGCUGGGAAGGUACUGUUGGGAACCGGGGUUUUUGUUCCCUUUUGUGGAUUUUUUCUGUUCUCCCUGUUGGUCUGUGGCUCCUCCCUUCAUCCACCAGAUGGCACCAGAGGCUGUUUUCUGUGGUUCAAGCACACCUGUGUUUCAUUAUCCAAUCAUAGUGAGGCUUAAGAGGAGCUGACAGUCUGCACUUCAUUGCCUGAGUGUUAGCCAGUAAUGGUACUCUGAGCCUUCCUGAGUGUACUCUGAGCUUUAUCCGAGAAGAACUCUUUGUGAUCACUCUUGAUGCUUCCCUGUUCUCAGGUUUUUCCUCAUGAUGCCAAGUAUUCUCCUCGAGAAGACCUCGUUCUGGCUUUCUGGAUUUCCCCUCCUCGUGACGCCGUGGAUUAUUACUCACUGGUUGCCCGAGUCCCACCUUUUCCUCCUCCGUUUGAUCACAAACCGCUCCUGGACUCUCCAGCUGGCAGUCGGACUGCUCCUCUGUCUUCCUCCACGCCUGAACUUACCUGUCCGCCCUCCACCGCAGCCUCCACAUUUCCACACGGAACCUCUCUGAUUGAGCCACUCUCUGGAACCCGGUUCACCUUCUAGACCCACACAAAGGAUUCAUAAUCCCGAGCCCUCGGUCAACUCUCUCCCCAAAGGAAUGUUCCGUCAUUACAAUGUACCGACGACUUCUGAACCUGCCCCAGGGAUUAUUCUCACCUGACCUCUCUUGCCUUAUUGUAUUAAUAAACAUCCUCUAACUAAU